CCUACGGGAGGCAGCAGUGGGGAAUAUUUGGCAAUGGGCGCAAGCCUGACCCAGCAACGCCGCGUGAAGGAAGGAAGCUCUCCGGUUGGAAACUUCUUGUAAUGAGGACGAAACAAAUAACGGUACUCAAUGAAUAGGCCACGGCUAACUACGUGCCAGCAGCCGCGGUAAUACGAAGGUGGCAAGCGUUAUUCGGAUGUACUGGGUGUAAAGGGCGUGUAGGCGGGACUACAAGUCAGAUGUGAAACCCAUGGGCUCAACCCAUGGCCUGCAUUUGAUACUGUAGUUCUUGAGUGAUGGAGAGGCAGGCGGAAUUCCGUGUGUAGCGGUGAAAUGCGUAGAUAUCCGGAGGAACACCAGUGGCGAAGGCGGCUUGCUGGACAUUAACUGACGCUGAGGCGCGAAAGCGUGGGGAGCAAACAGGAUUAGAUACCCUUGUAGUC
rnacentral:rRNA from 1 species